GUUUUUAAUAUUUUACUUUUGGAACAAUUUGGGUACAAUCCGAACGGUGCUUAAAAACAGCUCGUAGUGGAAUUUAGGAUGUCUAUCUAAUAUUGUUUGGAGUAGAAGUUAAACAUCCCAAUGUCUAUAAGCCACUUCAUUUUAACUUAGUGUUAGUCUCAAAUAAUUUAAAAAUAUUUAAUAUAUAUAUUUAAUCACUAAGUAUCUCUAUCAAUGUAUUUAUGAAAGAAGUACCACGUCUCCCCAAACUAAUCUUAAGUAGAAACCAAACGCCCUUUCCACUCCUAAUCGUAAUGUAACGGACUAGCUAAUCCACAUAUAUAUGUUUUACAUACAUAAUAUAGUCGUCUAAUUGGUAAUCGAGUGAUUUUAAAACCUUAUGGCCAUAUGAUUUAACUUUUACAUAGACACAAUGUUCCUUGUUUAGUAUUUUAUUUAAUUACAUUUUUAAAUUGUUUUACUAUUAUUGUAGUAUUAUUGUAAUAAGUAAAUCACAGCUCUUCAUACCCUAAAGGCUAAAAGAUAACUGUGAGGGAUAUAUCCUUAAAUAUUAAAUGUUAGUAUUGACCAGUGGAAAUGAUCAACAGCUACAAUGUUUCCGUCUCUACUGGCAGCUAAAACUAAACUAUCUCCUUAAGGAUUGCAUCAAACAAUAUGACUAUCAACCUAUCGUACUCUUUUUAAUAUCAAAUAAACAUAUAUAUAUAAAUAUAUAUAUGUAAACCUGUAGCAUAUACAAAAGUACUUGGUGUCUUAUAAAAUAUACAUAAUAAAUGAAACUCUUAUAUUACUAAGAAA